rnacentral:tRNA from 1 species
GCGCCCGUAGCUCAGUGGAUUAGAGUACAACCUUGCGGAGGUUGGGGUCAGAGGUUCAAAUCCUCUCGGGCGCG